CGCGGAAGAUGUAACGGGGCUCAAACCAUGCACCGAAGCUACGGGUAUCACUUAGGUGAUGCGGUAGAGGAGCGUUCUGUAAGCCUGUGAAGGUGAGUUGAGAAGCUUGCUGGAGGUAUCAGAAGUGCGAAUGCUGACAUGAGUAACGACAAUGGGUGUGAAAAACACCCACGCCGAAAGACCAAGGUUUCCUGCGCAACGUUAAUCGACGCAGGGUUAGUCGGUCCCUAAGGCGAGGCUGAAAAGCGUAGUCGAUGGAAAACAGGUUAAUAUUCCUGUACUUCUGGUUAUUGCGAUGGAGGGACGGAGAAGGCUAGGCCAGCUUGGCGUUGGUUGUCCAAGUUUAAGGUGGUAGGCUGGACUCUUAGGUAAAUCCGGGAGUUCUAAGGCCGAGAGCUGAUGACGAGCUAACUUUUAGUUAGCGAAGUGGUUGAU
rnacentral:rRNA from 1 species